rnacentral:rRNA from 1 species
UGCAAGUCGAGCGCACCUUCGGGUGAGCGGCGGACGGGUUAGUAACGCGUGGGAACAUACCCUUUUCUACGGAAUAGCCUCGGGAAACUGAGAGUAAUACCGUAUACGCCCUUCGGGGGAAAGAUUUAUCGGUGAAGGAUUGGCCCGCGUUUGAUUAGAUAGUUGGUGGGGUAAUGGCCUACCAAGUCUACGAUCAAUAGCUGGUUUGAGAGGAUGAUCAGCAACACUGGGACUGAGACACGGCCCAG